rnacentral:piRNA from 1 species
UGAAGACUCAGAAAGAGCCCGUCUGUGUGUC